rnacentral:rRNA from 1 species
UAGGGAAUCUUCGGCAAUGGACGAAAGUCUGACCGAGCAACGCCGCGUGAGUGAAGAAGGUUUUCGGAACGUAAAACUCUGUUGUUAGAGAAGAACAAGGACGUUAGUAACUGAACGUCCCCUGACGGUAUCUAACCAGAAAGCCACGGCUAACUACGUGCCAGCAGCCGCGGUAAUACGUAGGUGGCAAGCGUUGUCCGGAUUUAUUGGGCGUAAAGCGAGCGCAGGCGGUUUCUUAAGUCUGAUGUGAAAGCCCCCGGCUCAACCGGGGAGGGUCAUUGGAAACUGGGAGACUUGAGUGCAGAAGAGGAGAGUGGAAUUCCAUGUGUAGCGGUGAAAUGCGUAGAUAUAUGGAGGAACACCAGUGGCGAAGGCGGCUCUCUGGUCUGUAACUGACGCUGAGGCUCGAAAGCGUGGGGAACAAACAGG